rnacentral:rRNA from 1 species
AUUGAACGCUGGCGGCAUGCUUUACACAUGCAAGUCGUACGAGUGGCGAACGGGUGAGUAACGCAUCGGAAAGUACCCAGUAAUGGGGGAUAACUGUCCGAAAGGAUAGCUAAUCCCGCAUAUUAUCCGAUGGGCCCAGGUCUGAUUAGCUUGUUGGUGGGGUAAAGGCCCACCAAGGCGACGAUCCGUAGCGGGUCUAAGAGGAUGAUCACCCACAUGGUGACUGAGACACGGCCCAGACUCCUACGGGAGGCAGCAGGGGGGAAUAUUGGACAAUGGGCGCAAGCCUGAUCCAGCCAUGCCGCGUGUUUGAAGAAGGCCUUCGGGUUGUAAAGGACUUUUGUCAGGGAAGCGGUACUCGCAGAAUAAGCACCGGCUAACUACGUGCCAGCAGCCGCGGUAAUAC